AGUAACGGCCAUGCCACCCUGAACAAGCCCGAUCCCGUCUGAUCUCAGAAGCUAAGCAGGGCCAAGCCUGGUUAGUACUUGGAUGGGAGACCACCUAGGGAGACCAGGUGGUGUAGGCG
rnacentral:rRNA from 1 species